rnacentral:rRNA from 1 species
UGGGGAAUUUUGGACAAUGGGGGCAACCCUGAUCCAGCAAUGCCGCGUGUGUGAAGAAGGCCUUCGGGUUGUAAAGCACUUUUGUCCGGAAAGAAAACGCCGUGGUUAAUACCCGUGGCGGAUGACGGUACCGGAAGAAUAAGCACCGGCUAACUACGUGCCAGCAGCCGCGGUAAUACGUAGGGUGCAAGCGUUAAUCGGAAUUACUGGGCGUAAAGCGUGCGCAGGCGGUCCGCUAAGACAGAUGUGAAAUCCCCGGGCUUAACCUGGGAACUGCAUUUGUGACUGGCGGGCUAGAGUAUGGCAGAGGGGGGUAGAAUUCCACGUGUAGCAGUGAAAUGCGUAGAGAUGUGGAGGAAUACCGAUGGCGAAGGCAGCCCCCUGGGCCAAUACUGACGCUCAUGCACGAAAGCGUGGGGGAGCAAACAGGAUUAGAUACCCUGGUAGUCCACGCCCUAAACGAUGUCAACUAGUUGUCGGGUCUUCAUUGACUUGGUAACGUAGCUAACGCGUGAAGUUGACCGCCUGGGGAGUACGGUCGCAAGAUUAAAACUCAAAUGAAUUGACGGGGUCAUAGCUGUUCCUG